rnacentral:lncRNA from 1 species
AGGAGCUCCUCUGGCCCUCAUGCUCAGGGACUUGAAAGGGAGUUGGAGCCAAGAGAAACAAUGGGGCCAGCCCCCAACUCCAGGAAUCUAAGCCUGAGCCUUGCCCUGGGCCAGUUGAAUGGCCACCUCACCUGUAUGGUCAGCAACUCUAUGGACGACAAGAAUGCAACCUUACACCCGGAAAACAUCUAUCCAUCGACGGAGCAAACGGCUUUGGAGAGGCAUCCGUCCCACGGUUCUGAUGGUGGGCCUGGGCGCUGGAGUGUGGAUCUGGAUGAGGAAGAAGAUGGAGACUGGGAGAGGUGGGUCUGCUCUCCUGCCCGAGGGGCCCGGCUCAGCAGCUGCUCCCCAGGCCCUUCCCACAGAAGAAUCUGCUGACCUGCACACUGGUGGGGCUGAUAGCCACGACUCCCCCUACAUGAAGAUCAGACUCCUGGGACACCCUGAGGACACAGGGAGACAAGCACAGAAGAGAGAUAGGGGUGGCAGGAAGGAGCAGAUUCCAGAGAAAUGGAAAGACAUGGAGAAGGGCAGCUGCCAUUCAUACAGCCCUGAGUGUGCUCCAGUAAUCCACACUAUCUAUGAGAAGAUCCAGAAAAGCCCAGAACCCCAGGAUGACACCGAGACCACGGAGACACUGGGGCAGUGAGGGGCCUUCACAAGAUCUCCCCCCCUCACCCUGCACUCCAGGAUCUCAAGAUCUCCCUCUUUAAGGUGGAGCUGGGACUAGACCCCAUGUCUUUCUGACCCAUCCCACUGAGACAGCAGAGCAGCAGGAGCUGCUCCCCUGGGUUCCCACCAAAGUUUUCUCCCUUCACAGUGAUGGUGCUACUCUAAUAUCCAAGUACAAGAGGUAAGCCUUUCAGCAGUCAGCCAGAUUUCUGACCUGUGACCAUCUUAACCCCUUUAGGGAACACCCCUGGUUAGGCGGGACAUGCAUAAGGAUGGUCAGGGGAUAGAGAUGCUUUCCUGGAAUAGGGAGGGUCCUGGUGCCUCUCACAAUGAUGAGUCUUGGGUGAAGGAACUUCAGGAUGUCAUAGCCCAGCCCAGUACCCAAGAAUAGAGAAAGCAAUGGCCUUUGACUAUGGACAAGCCAGAGGCUGGCAGAUACAAGAUUCCGGGUCAACUGUGCCUGGGAGGGGUGGAAAGAGAGGGAAACACUUUUUGAGUUCCACCACCUACCAGGCUUAAUCUAAGCACAGUAAAUGAACUAUCUCAGGAUUUUUCAAAUUCAAGUGAUUCACAGACCCUUUUAUUUUUAUUACAUAAUAUAUCCAUGCAGUGUAAAAGUCAAAAGGCAGGUCUUGUUGACAUGAUAAUGUUUCAGCAUCUUAUUGCUAUUGUAAAUGGGGUCUUGUUCCCAUUAGAUCUUCCAACUAGUUGAUUAAAAUAAUGCACAAAUAACAUAUAUAAAUUUUCCUGUUACUAACUUUCUUUUCUGUUUGUAACAGUUUUUCAUUUGAUCCCUUUGAAUAUCUGACUAAAUAACCAUAUUAUCAACAAAUAAUUAUAAUGUUUGCUUCCUUCUUUCCAAUUUUUAUGACUCAUUUCUUUCUCUUGUCUAAUUGCAUUGGCUAAUACCUCCAAAGCCAUGCUAAAUAAUACUGAUAAAAAUGUCCUUGUAUUGUUCCUCACUUUAAUAUAAAUGCUUCUAGUGUUUCUCCAUUAAGCAUGAUGUUUUUAUUAGGUUAAGACAUAUCCGUUUUGUCGUGUUAGGAAAGCAUGUACUUAUUCUUAUAUUAUAAAGAGUUAUACUGAGAACAAAAUGUUAAAUUUUAUUGUUUCUCGUUUCAUCUGUGCAAAUUUCAUAUGCUUGUUCUUUUUCAUCUAUUAAUAAAAUAUUGAAAGAUUUCC